UCGCCUUUCUGUAAAAAGUGGUGUCCAGUUGCUGCCAGCUCCACGUCCUGCUCCCUCAUGCAAGGAUGCCCACAUCUAUUUCUAUUAACCCCUCACACCUAUAAAUAUCCCCUUAGGACAUUUAGGAACACACACGGAAAUCCACCUAAAAAGUUGAACCCGAGUUCAAUUUAUCUGACCCGAAUAGGAAAUCUGAAGGUAAAAGAUUAUCAGCACGGAACCAAGACAAAGGUUUGGAGUGGUUAAGAAGGGUUUGGUCAACAUUCAUAAUCAAAGAGUCGAGCCACAUCGCUUAAUCACUGUGGCCAGUAGAAAGGACUGUAUCACUCAUGGAACUGUAGGAGCUGGUAUAGAUUGGACAUCUUUUGGUAAAACUCGUUUUCAAGAUAUAUGAAUGUAUGUUUUACUUUCGGCUGUGUCCAUGGAUCUUAUGUAUAAUAUUUUGGGCUUGUGAACUUCAUGUUAUAUAUAUAUGAAAUAAAGUACGUUUUAUA